rnacentral:rRNA from 1 species
GGACCCGCACAAGCGGUGGAUGAUGUGGUUUAAUUCGAUGCAACGCGAAAAACCUUACCUACACUUGACAUGCCAGAAAUCCUGCAGAGAUGUGGGAGUGCCGCAAGGAAUCUGGGCACAGGUGCUGCAUGGCUGUCGUCAGCUCGUGUCGUGAGAUGUUGGGUUAAGUCCCGCAACGAGCGCAACCCUUGUCACUAGUUGCUACAUUUAGUUGGGCACUCUAGUGAGACUGCCGGUGACAAACCGGAGGAAGGUGGGGAUGACGUCAAGUCCUCAUGGCCCUUAUGUGUAGGGCUACACACGUCAUACAAUGGUCGGUACAGAGGGUUGCCAACCCGCGAGGGGGAGCUAAUCUCACAAAGCCGAUCGUAGUCCGGAUCGCAGUCUGCAACUCGACUGCGUGAAGUCGGAAUCGCUAGUAAUCGUGGAUCAGCAUGUCACGGUGAAUACGUUCCCGGGUCUU